AUGGACUGCCCAACCCUGAGGCCCAUCUUGGCCUACCUACUGAAGCUCAAAACUGAAGUCUCCUGUGCCACUGCCAGGCCUGGCCCACUAAAACUUCCCACAUUUGAUCUGUCUUGCCCUUUGCCCCUCGCAGCUGGCUGGAACACAGACUACCACCAGGGCUACCUUGGAAGCUACCAGCUAAAGACAGCAGAGACUCCAUCAGCUCUGGUGCUCAAAAGACUGCAAGAGGAGGCACCCCACCGACCAGUGGGGUUUACCUGGCACCACUGUGUGAACAAGAAACAAGCUUCCCUGAAGACUGACCUACAUUCUGGGCCUCUCAGCCCUCUGAGGAUCUGGAGAAGAGAAGGAAGGAGAAAUGGGAGUCGUACCUUGAGCUUCAUGGCAUCUCCAGAUUCACCUCUGUCCACAACCCAAACCUAA